CCCCCCCCCCCCCCAACCCUAUCAUGGAAAUUGAACCCCCUGCUAUAGACCUUGAAUUUCAAAAAUUCUAGCUAUUCUAACUCCAAUAAGUAGUUUGUAUGUAUUUAACAUGAUGGAAAAGAUAUUUUGAAAAUUUUACUUUGCCUUGGUAUUUUGACCCCCCUACCAUGGUAUAUUGAAUCCCCCUACUGUAGACCUUGAUUUUCAAAUAUUCUAGCUAUUUUAACUCCUUAACAUAGUUAUACUACUCCAAUAAGUAGUUUGUAUGUAUUUAACAUGCUGGAAAAGAUGUUUUGAAAAUUUUACUUAGCCAUGGUAUUUUGAACCCCCUACUAUAGACCUCUCUUUGGGUUUUGGAAAUUUUUGAUAUACAUGUAUUGAUUUUCCAUUUUUUUC
rnacentral:lncRNA from 1 species